rnacentral:pre_miRNA from 1 species
GCAGGGAGCAUCCAAAGGGAUCGCAUUGAUCCCUUGAGGCACGUUUACUUCAUUGACAGUAAUCGGAUCAUGCGAUCUUUUUGGAUACCUCCU